rnacentral:sRNA from 1 species
GGCAGCGGGUGGGGGGCUGUUUAGCUUAACAUAAUCAUUGGCAUUGCUUAUUGGCAUUGCGUGGCAUGCCAAUCAGUCUUUUUGUGGCGUCAAGUAUACGACAAGCUGUACGUCAAUUUUAUGAAACUUUACGAGUACUCGUACGGCAGUCAGUGCAACGGAUAAAUCAGUACAAUAUUUGUGCCAAUUAGUUUCGUUAUGAAUACGGAUGGCUGUCGUAGGUCAAUCAGAGCUCAAAUUGAUAUCAAAUUGUGCAGAGCUGUGACAUUUCUGUAUCCCCUUACUCGGGUUCACCAGCAUAUCAUAUUCUGUUCUAAAGUGUUUGUAUUUUCAUCUCUUCCUUUCACUCUUGUUCAAGUUGCAAAGGACAUAUCAAGUGGUUUUUUGCAUUCGUUCUCCUAUAUCGGUCAGCUUCCAUAUCGGUGAACUUCCUCUGAAUGGUUUUUUUUUUUAAUGUUUCUCCAUUUCGCUACAUAUCAAUCAGUUUCUUUCCAUCAGAGCAGCCCCAAAAAGUCAAAUGUCAUAUAAGAACUUUUUUCUUCAUAUACUCGGAUGUACAGUAUUACUCAAUCGACAUACAUUUUGGACUGUUUUCGCUACAUCCAUACGUUUGACAGUCGACUACCGGAUAGAGUGACGCCCCCGCCUCCGGUACUACGUAGACGAACGCGGCCAUGCUGGAACUUGAAAUCAAUUUCAGUUGAACGCCUUUUGCCUGCCAUUGAUUUAUGGCCACGUCAAAAGAAACAUCUACUCGUAUAACUGGAAAAAUAAGAGCUGAAGAACAAGCAGGCUGCCAGAAAUUGACUGCCUUUUGUAUACAAAUAGGCCGAAAUCUGCCAGGACACUGAAGGCCGUACCCACAUACACAUGACCGCGGAGGGGGGGUGGCAGCUGUAGGGCAAAUGGUGCCGCUGCCAUGAAGCGGAAGUAAACACAUAAAACGGAAAUGAAAAUUCAAUUAUUUCGUUACGAUAGCUCAA